GACGAACGCUGGCGGCGUGCUUAACACAUGCAAGUCGAACGGGCCUUGUCCCCUUUUUUUUUGGGGGUGGGGUUAGUGGCGAACGGGUGAGUAACACGUGAGUAACCUGCCCCUCACUUCUGGAUAACCGCUUGAAAGGGUGGCUAAUACGGGGUGUUCUGGCCUGCUCGCAUGGGUGGGUUUGGAAAGAUUCGACCGGUUUUGGUUGUUUUGGUGGGGGAUGGGCUCGCGGCCUAUCAGCUUGUUGGUGGGGUGAUGGCCUGCCAAGGCUUUGACGGGUAGCCGGCCUGAGAGGGUGGGCGGUCACACUGGGACUGAGACACGGCCCAGACUCCUACGGGAGGCAGCAGUGGGGAAUAUUGCACAAUGGGCGCAAGCCUGAUGCAGCGACGCCGCGCGAGGGAUGGAGGCCUUCGGGUUGUGAACCUCUUUCGCCAGUGAAGAAGGUCCUGCUCUUUGUGGUGGGGUUGACGGUAGCUGGGUUAAUGAAGCGCCGGCUAACUACGUG
rnacentral:rRNA from 1 species